rnacentral:rRNA from 1 species
GAAUGCUGACAUAAGUAACGAUAAAGCGGGUGAAAAGCCCGCUCGCCGGAAGACCAAGGGUUCCUGUCCAACGUUAAUCGGGGCAGGGUGAGUCGACCCCUAAGGCGAGGCCGAAAGGCGUAGUCGAUGGGAAACAGGUUAAUAUUCCUGUACUUGGUGUUACUGCGAAGGGGGGACGGAGAAGGCUAUGUUAGCCGGGCGACGGUUGUCCCGGUUUAAGCAUGUAGGCUGGUUAUCCAGGCAAAUCCGGAUAAUCAAGGCUGAGGUGUGAUGACGAGGCACUACGGUGCUGAAGUAACAAAUGCCCUGCUUCCAGGAAAAGCCUCUAAGCAUCAGGUAACAUCAAAUCGUACCCCAAACCGACACAGGUGGUCAGGUAGAGAAUACCAAGGCGCUUGAGAGAACUCGGGUGAAGGAACUAGGCAAAAUGGUGCCGUAACUUCGGGAGAAGGCACGCUGGUGUGUAGGUGAAGUCCCUGCGGAUGGAGCUGAGACCAGUCGAAGAUACCAGCUGGCUGCAACUGUUUAUUAAAAACACAGCACUGUGCAAACACGAAAGUGGACGUAUACGGUGUGACGCCUGCCCGGUGCCGGAAGGUUAAUUGAUGGGGUUAUCCGUAAGGAGAAGCUCUUGAUCGA